rnacentral:rRNA from 1 species
UACGUAGGGGGCUAGCGUUGUCCGGAAUCAUUGGGCGUAAAGCGCGUGUAGGCGGCCCGGUAAGUCCGCUGUGAAAGUCGGGGGCUCAACCCUCGGAUGCCGGUGGAUACUGUCGGGCUCGAGUACGGAAGAGGCGAGUGGAAUUCCUGGUGUAGCGGUGGAAAUGCGCAGAUAUCAGGAGGAACACCAGUGGCGAAGGCGGC